AUUCACUAGAGUAUACUGGUGUACUAGUCUUUCAGCGUCUCUUUCCUCCAGUUCCUUCGAAUGUUUGCAUCAAAAAGCAUGCAGUAGUACCCCGGCUUGUUUAUUCCUCGGUUGGAGUUCCCUUGGGUCCUACACUAAUUCAGAUCUCUUUGGGAGCAGUGGUGGCCAGUAGUGAGCACCCCAAGUCUCCUCCGCUCCGCUCCGCAUUAAACUAAUCACUGCCAAAUCCCUAGUCUCUCUUCCACAUGCAGGCAUGAAUGAUGCAUCCAUGAGCACUGUGGAGCUCUAGGUUUCACAGCUCAAGUGUAAACAAGCAGCCCAUACUCUUCCUCUAGCUGCUAGCUAAAGGGUUUGACUGCACAGAGGAAUGGGCAGCGCACGUGCCUGCCUUUGUUUUUUCAGUCUCGCACGUGCCUCUACUUAUAUACUGUACUGGGUCGUGUAGGUAGGGGGUGCCGGUGUACCGAACUGCAGUGCUGAAAAGUGAAAAAACUUGAAGUGAGUAGGUUCUCUUCUGGUUCCCCGCAUUGAAGACUUCAAGUCCCCAAUAGAACUGAUGAGUUGGAGGAGUCUGGAUUUCGUUCAGAAAAGUCUCUCGUCCUCCAGGUGUACCGGUUCCUGCUCCAUCUGCAUGCACUCUUCGUCCAAUCAUUCAGGUGUUUCAGUCGCCUCAGCAUUCAUUAUAUAUAUAUAUAUAUAUAUAUAUAUAUAUAUAUAUAUAUAUAUAUAUAUAUAUAUAUAUAUAUAUAUAUAUAUAUAUAUAUAUAUUGUUACUGGUUGCGCUGUACUACCGUCGAUUUGGCUUGGUGCAGACAAGACAUGGCUUUGUUCGCUACUAGUACUUUAUGGCAGCAACAAAGUGACAUACUGACAUGGAUGAGGUCUUAAGCGAUGUUUGUUAGUGUUCCUUCGAGUGUUCAUACUUGAGCAUGAAACAAAGGGACACACGGCAGAAACAUGUUGUGACAGAUUCAUGAAAACAUGGAAGGACAGAGGGACACAUAUAUAUACGCAAUAGAACUAUCAGGUCAAGACAUUUUUCAGUUAUCCAACUGGUACUGCCAGCGAUGGCCUUUUAUAUUUGUUCUUGUAUGCUAGGGCUGGGGCAUGCCCCUAGUAUAUAUGUAGCCUAUCUAGAGCAGAUGCGGCUCCUCUUUUCUGAGAUGGCUGUCGGCAAAACAGAUGGUCACCCCUGCUCCUGCUGCGUUCGGAGCUGACAUCUUGUCACUGAAACCCAUCACCUGCUGCAGGAUUUCAGGGGAGACGUAUGGCCUAUGGUACUCCCAGCUCACUGAAAGCAAUAGAGAAAUCGCGGGAGGUGACAGGCCCAACGCCUCAGACCUCAGCAGCACCAGCACCCAAGCUUUGGUGACUUCAAUGCGCUGACCACACGAAUGGAAAGGAACAACUGAAACAAUUGUGCUUACUCCUACCCAAGAGGCCACUUUCCCUAUGUAGAUCUGUUAAAUUCUGUUCCAUGUAAAUACUGGUUUCUUCGUCGUCCGAAUGGCAUAUAGUACACUAUG